GGGAUGGUGGCUCAGUGGUAGAGCGCUUGCCUUGCAUGCUCGAGGCCCUGGGUUCGAGUCCUCAGCACCCUA
rfam:Dipodomys ordii contig_67735, whole genome shotgun sequence.